rnacentral:rRNA from 1 species
CGGGUGAGUAAUGUAUGGGGAUCUGCCUGAUGGCGGGGGAUAACUACUGGAAACGGUAGCUAGUACCGCAUAAUGUCUGCGGACCAAAGCGGGGGACCUCCGGGCCUCGCGCCAUCAGAUGAACCCAUAUGGGAUUAGCUUGUAGGUAAGGUAACGGCUUACCUAGGCGACGAUCCCUAGCUGGUCUGAGAGGAUGAUCAGCCACACUGGGACUGAGACACGGCCCAG